rnacentral:rRNA from 1 species
UACGUAGGGGGCUAGCGUUGUCCGGAAUCAUUGGGCGUAAAGAGCGCGUAGGCGGCCAGAUAAGUCCGGUGUGAAAGUCAAAGGCUCAACCUUUGAAUGCCGCUGGAAACUGUCUGGCUAGAGUCCGGAAGGGGCGAGUGGAAUUCCCGGUGUAGUGGUGAAAUGCGUAGAUAUCGGGAGGAACACCAGUGGCGAAGGCGACUACCUGGCCUGUUCUUGACGCUGAGGCGCGAAAGCUAGGGGAGCAAACGGG